rnacentral:lncRNA from 1 species
UUAGUUAUAAGGAGGGAGAGGUAGUUAAAGUUAGUUGACGUAGUUAGAAUAACAGAAUUCAUUCAGAAAAGAAUCUGUUGUAGCUUUAUAAUUUGGGAUACAAUGUAAUCAGUACAAAUAGUGUUGUAGUUUUUCAUUUUAUCAAUCAAUAUAUACAACUUCAUCCUAAUUUCUCUCUUCUCUUCCUCGUCUUCUCUCUUCUUCUUUCUUCUGCAAAUUCCUUAUGCCUACUGCUUUUCUCUAGCAAUUCUUGAGGCAGUUUUGCGAUCCUCGAGUUCAAAUCGAAUUCCUGCAAUCGCGUAACAUGGAGCGCGGCAGCAUAGGGAUGGUGGAGAUGGAGGUAAAGGUUUAAGCUUUGAUUCUUCAAAGAUGUUGGUGGGGGGCGAAUAGGAAGAGUAGUAGCAGUAAAUGGGUAAUAAAAGAUUGUUGUCCGGUGAAGUUAGGGUUAUGGGAGUAAGAGGAAAAGGGAGAUAAUGGAACCUAUGGAUAAUGAGUAGAUCCACUUUCGCCCCAUUAGUGUUGUGUGUCUAAGGUAUAGAUAACAGAUCUUGCGCUUCUUCUUUUCAAUUUCAAGAAGGGGAAGCUGAUCUGGCUAAAAUGAGGUGAAGCAGUGGAGGAAUUGUGAAGCUACCAUUGCUGAAAAUUUGAAGUCUAAAAAUGGUUUAAAUUUUAGAGUCAUAUGAACAAUUUUCAAGAUUCGCAUAAUAAUUUGAAGGAAAAAUGGAAGUUUUAAGCGAAUCUCUGCAUGUGUAAUCAUUCUAUGGGGUUUGUAAUAUAUAAAUUUCUUUUUGUAGAAGAGGUGGAACAGAGGACGGGGUCGCCGGGAAUGAAGAUCGAAUGAGAGGGUCGUUGUGGGAAGAUGACGAGAGUGGGGUGUAGAAACCAAAAAAAAUUAUUGAUUCCUCGAAAAUAAAUAUUGGGAUUUGAAAUCGAAAAAUGAAAUACCGAGAAAGAAAAAUAUAUUUGCUAAUUCAAAC